rnacentral:rRNA from 1 species
GUUGGGAGUAGCUGCCGGAAACGGCCAGCCAACGGUAUCCAGUCCGGAACCCAAUACAGGUGCUGCAUGGCUGUCGCCAGCUCGUGUCGUGAGAUGUCGGGUUAAGUCCCAUAACGAGCGAAACCCUUGUCUUCAGUUGCCAGCGGGUCAUGCCGGGGACUCUGGAGAGACUGCCGGUGUUAAACCGGAGGAAGGUGGGGAUGACGUCAAGUCCUCAUGGCCUUUAUGUCCAGGGCUGCACACGUGCUACAAUGGCGUGAACAAAGGGACGCAAACCCGCGAGGGGGAGCAAAUCCCAAAAAACACGCCCCAGUUCAGAUUGAAGGCUGCAACUCGCCUUCAUGAAGUUGGAAUCGCUAGUAAUCGCAGGUCAGCAACACUGCGGUGAAUGUGUUCCUGAGCCUUGUACACACCGCCCGUCAAGCCACGAAAGGGAGGGGCGUCCGAAGUCGGUCCGCCAACCGCAAGGGGGCAGCCGCCGAAGACGAAACUCCUGAUUGGGACUAAGUCGUAACAAGGUAGCCGU